UAGCAAACGGCAACUAAAGUUGCAAAUUGUAACAACGGUUAAAUUAUAGAGUUGGAAACUUAGUUGUAUCACAUUAUAUCUAAGCUUAAUCAACAGUUGAAACGCUUUCAGUUGUAAACCAGUUGUAUUACUUCAUAUCAAAGAUUAAUCAAUAGUUGAAGUGGAAGUUAAAGUAAGGUUAAAUCGCUUAACAUCAAAGGUUUAUCGACAGUUGCAAUUGAUGUUGCAAAAACGGUUUACUCACUUCACAUCAAAGGUUGAUAGACAGUUGCAAUUGACGUUGUACAAACGGUACAAUCACUUACCAUCAAAGGUUGAUCGACAGUUGCGAUUGAAGUUGUAAAUACGGUUAAAUCGCUUAACAUCAGAUAUUGAUCGACAGUUGUAAUUGAAGUAGUGAAAACGGGUCAAUCACUUCACAGCAAAGGUAGAUCGACAGUUGCAAUUGAAGUUGUAAAUACGGUUAAAUCGCUUAACAUCAGAUAUUGAUCGACAGUUGCAAUUGAAGUAGUGAAAAUGGGUCAAUCACUUCACAGCAAAGGUUGAUCGACAGUUGCAAUUGGAGUUGUAAAAACAGUUCAAUUACUUACCAUCAAAGGUUGAUCGACAGUUGCAAUUGAAGUUGUAAAUACGGUUAAAUCACUUCACAGCAAAGGUGGAUAGACAGUUGCAAUUGACGUUGUAAAAACGGUUAAAUCACUUAUCAUCAAAGGUUGAUCAACAGUUGCAAUAGAAGUUGUAAAUACGGAAUUGUUACUAAAAUCGAAGGUUGAUCGACAGUUGCAAAUUGCAACUUGCAAUAAAAGUUGUAAAUACGGUUUUAUCACUUAUGUAAAGUUUGGGGAGGUCAAACAGAUUGCUAUUAUAUUAGAUAUAGGGGAACACACACACACACCUCUUCUAAUGAUUUUACUUAUAAAAAAUGACCACAUAUGUAUCGUUUCGACGAUAAUCAUCACGUGGUGAAUUUUUAGUAUGAAAAUCCGCUAUAGUAUCACCCGUAUUGUAUAGAUCAUUCAAACGAUGUCACAUUUUACAUUCUAUCGUUAGGUCUGGUGAUUGUGCUUUCGACCAUCUGUAAACUUUGGGGUCAGAUCGACGAGAGAAUGUAAAAUGCGAUAUCGUUUGAAUGAUCUGGCCAAGUGACCCUUAGAAAAUGGGGGUUGUAAAUAAUUUAGGAAAUAUCUAGCAACCCCUGUCACAUUUUUGUCGUAAUAAGGGUAUCGAGCCAAAAUACACAUUUUUCUGCAGAAAACUCGAGAUAACAUCAUGGAAACAUUACGAUUUCCAAUAACAACUAUCCGUCAGGUGGACAACUUAGAACAUUCCUUAAGAGGAGGAGAGAAUGUUCGAAAGCAAUUGGAAAACGUAAUCAAUUUACUCAACGGCGACAACCCUUUGAAGCUUCUAAAUGCUAUCAUGACAUUUAUUUUCGCUCCCCGAAUUCUCGUUCAUCUUUCUUGGCAUGGCUCACUGAUAAAAAAAGCCUUCAAAGAGCUGGUGAUCACAGAUAUCAUUAUACGUUGUAUUCGUGGACGAUUUCCGAAUUACAAAAACACGGAUUUGAAGCAGAUCAUUUCUCACUACUUUUCGGUACGGAAAUAAAUCUUAAAAUGUGUUUGAUUAAGAUCCGACGUGUGGGAGACUACAAUAACCAUUAAAACGUCAAAAAUUUCUUAGAUUUUUUUGUUUCUUAUUUUCUUGCUCCGUUUUUAAGAAGCUAACGCUACAGUCUGGGAAUUAUAAGAAGUAACAAUUAUAAUCCAAUCGACGCUAUUCAUUCCACAUGCGUUACCAACGUUACGACAUUUACGUAUGUAUAUGUAUUAUAACAUGUAAAUCGCAUGCGGAUUGAAUAACCUCGAUUGGAUUGUAAUUGUUGAAGAUGUAACUUCGUAUAAUUCUCCCACCGUAUUUUCUAUGCAGCACCUAUUGUGCUUCGAGAUUCCUUUAGCUCGGAAUCUCAAGAUGUUUCAUGUUUUCUUGGAUUCUUGACAUCAACAGAACCAGCCAUUUUAAAGACAAAGAAUUUUCUUCUGUAAAUAGCGACUAAGGAAAAGAAAUGUUGUCAUUUAUGACUAACGUAUUUGAUCGAGUGUUACAGUAGCGAAAACCCGACCGUGAGUUGCUUAUGGAACAUUCAAAAAAAUAGCACAAUUAACGGUUCUUAACGGUUUGUGUUACGAUGCAACGUUUCUCUUACACCUAUCGGUACAGUGACUUAAUGAAAUACCACCAACCAGUAUCACCAUAACGCAAUUCCCGAUUUUCUGAAAACAUUGAAUUUAAAUCCAAAAAAUCAUUUCAAACAUUUUUAUUUGAUUAUUUAAGAUGCCAAAGAAUGAAUCUUUAAUACAAAUUACUCCUUUUGUAAAUGGGUUUCACACAAUAACAAUAGUAUUUUGAUUCUCCAACCCUUUGACAGAGUUAUCUUAAACAUUCGACAAACUUUCUUCAAUCAAUUUAGUACCAAAAAUGUCAUUUCAUUUUAUUUAUUAUUCAAAAAAAUAUAUCAUAGACUACGCAUAUACAUCAUUCCAUUAUUUUCAAUAACUUCAACGUCGUCGUAUGGAGAUGUAUAUGGUCUCCAUACGACAACAGAAAAAUAUUAACCUAAUUCUAUUCGGUUUUAUUUUGAUAGCAUUUAUUUUGAUACUAGUACCAUGUAUUCAUGGUACAUUUUAGCAAAUUACAAAAAAAAAUCAUCUUUUUAUAAGGAUGAGUUUAAAUGCUUGCGACUCACACACUUGUUGACGUUUGCGACACACACAUUUGUUUAUGUUUGCGUAGAUAGUGGUACACUCACAUGUUAUAUUCGUUUGAUGACAUUUCUGUUUCUGUUUUCAUUUUGUUCGAAGAAUUUUGACUUUGAGUGCAAAUAUUGAAUAAGUUAAGAGGAAACAUCAAUUAUUAUUUGUGUGGUCUUUGGCGAGCUAAAUCCUCCGAAAGAAUCCAAAUUUUAACAAACACAUUGAUUGAGAUAAGUGAAAAAACCAUACUUCAUCGGCAUGUAAUAAUGCUGUGUAAACAAAGUGAAAUAAUGAAAAAUGUAUGACUGUUUCAGUUCUAGAACUCAUAUCAAUCAGAAUCGGAUCAAUAUUUUCGGAAUAAGAUGAUGCCUGUUCAAAACGUAAAAGUAAGAAGCAGUUUCCAUAGAAUCUGUACAAAAAACCAUAUCAGAAAUGCGACCUUUAUGCCGUAAAGCUAUGUACUGCUAUGAACCGAAGAGAAAGUGAUCCACAAAACACGCAGGACCAUGCCUUGAGGUGAAUUUAUUGUAAAUUUACACGAAAGUUGCGCCUCGAAUAUCCGUGAUCCGCUGAGCGUUUGCUUCGCAUUCUCUUUGAUACGCUUUGCUUGGCUAUUUUUCUGACAAAGUCUUAAACUCGACUUUGACUAUCUGCGUACUAUGUCAUUGGCCGCCAAUUUUAGAUUAUUUUGUAUUUAUCACUUCAAAGUCAAGAGAGUUUUAUAUAGUGUAGAAGUUAACGACCAACGUUUUACAACUUAGUUUUUGAUUUUUCUCAUUCACAAACUAAUUGUUCAACGCGCUUUAAGGGGAGCUUUAGUUGUUAGUCAAUAAGGAAUAAAGCUCCCCUUAUAGCACGUUGUACAAUAAGUUUACGAAUGAGUAAAGUCAAAAAUUAAGUUGUCAACGUUGGUCGUUAAUUUCUAGACUAAUAUUGUGUAUUGAAUAGAAGCUGCAGCGAGUUGCAGUCCACUACAUGUGGCAAUAAUUGCUAGCAGGGGGUGGUAAAAAGUAAAAUAAUCUCUUCGACAUAUAUAUAAAAGCGAAUUGUAAACAGUUUAUUGUGUAUAAUGGAGUAAGGGGAAAAAGACGGAUGUUUCUUCGUCCAUUUCAAUCCGAUACAACUUACAAAACAUGUCGUCUAAAGUAAUGGAUGAGGAUAUCGAAAUAAGCUUAGACUUAUAUAUAAACAAAUUUCUUGAUUCCAUCGGCAGUUCAUAGAAAUUUUCCUGGUAUUUGCUAACAAGAAUGGCACCUUCAAACACAACCGAAUUUUCGUUUUGAUGUAUUGUGUCAACCAUGAAAAUUUCAAGUUUCUUCGUAAGCAGCCAUCGAUUUUUUUCAGAUGAAUCCAAUCGAAUGUCCUUAAGACGCAGAAUAUUUUUUUGUAAGGAUUCGGAUGCAACUUUUUGUUUUUCUUCGUAUUCACGGAUUUUUUCACACGCAUCUCUUUCAGCAAUUCUUUUGAUAACUUGCUGUAAUGGCAAAUGACCUCCUCUAACCAAACUUUUUAAAAAACCCAAAUUACUCUCGCCAGGAAACGCAGAGUACUCAUCAAAUACACCAAAGCGUUCUACAUCGUCCGUUACGUGUAUCACCGAGUGGAUACUGUACGUAGAAUUCUCAUUUCCGUAAAUAUCUCCAAAUCUUUUUGAAAAUGAUCGAAAUAGACGUUUCGCAACAGGUAAAUAUUUUAACAAUGGUUUGCUGCAACAUAUUGUCACUGCGCAGUGAAGUGCUAAGAAAUGGUUAUACAUUUCGUCAGUAAGGAACCCGCGUAGCGCCACUGGACCGGUUUUUAGCAGAAAUGUGCGAAAUUCAGUGGCUUUCCAGAAAUUUAAGCAAUUCAGUGAUCUGUUGGUUCUACCAAUUUCGGACGGCUUCGUACCACCGGCUUGUAUAUGCUUUUCGGAAAUUCCCGAAACAUCUUUAGAAGAUAGUUUCAAAUUACUACAUCCAUUGACCCAUAACAACAAAAGCCGCUUCAUACAGCCGUACAAUAUGAGGUGUAGGUACUCCAACGGGAUGUCAUGAAUCAUAUCUAUCGGCAGUUCUUCUAGCGGAGAGUCGUCGUGGUGGUGUUGCUCGUUUACUUGGUUUCGGAAGGACUCGUCUGUUCUAAGUGGAGCACGAGUUCCGAUUAAACAAACAUGUCCUGCACUUUUUUUUUGUUUUGAAACUGUUGCUUUGACUUUGCAUAAAUAUUCUCCUUCUUCCUCGCAUCGUUCGCAAGAAAAAUAGCCGUUGUGCCCAAUGAUGCAUUUUAAGAAUGCCCGUGCAGGAGCGUCUAAUAUAAAUUUGUCGAUUCGAAUUUUCAAAAUUUUGGUGUGUCCACUCUGCACAACAGUUAACCCAUUUGCUAACAACCCAUGCAUUUCGUUUAGAAGUGGUCGGACGAAUAUUUCGGCACUAUCGGGUUUCGACGAUCCUUUAAACAAUUGUACGAAGAACGAUUUCAUAUCGACUCCUUUGAUACUACACUGAACAGGCCAGAACUCAGAUUUCGAACUUUUAUAAAUUGGGGUGCCAUCGAUAUGAAUAGUGAGCUCAAGUAAAUCCGAACAGUUGUGCUUUUUGGACAAUUCGAUUAAUUUACUCUUAAGUCCACCGUACCAACAUUCGCCAGACCCCAUUUUGAACACAUCGACUUUUUUUGGUGUUUUCAGAAGUGUUCUUGCGUCCACUGGCAAGGAAGGGUGACCAUUUGACUUCAAAAUUUUCAAGAGUUCGCUCAGGGCAAAUAACCGAAUAUUGUUAUCAAUCGCCCACUUUCGUAGUUUAUAGUCUAUAGUUUUGAUGUAAGCAAAAACGUCAAAUCCGAACUCGAAAACUUCGCUCAAUUCUGCUAAAUCCUGUAGCUCUAAAUCAUCGAUUUGCGAAUCGUCCAAAGGAGUACAAUUUUGAGGUUCUGAUAACAUAAUUACUAUUAAGAACAAUUCCUCAGAAAGGAGUAUAAAUGAUCCUUCUUAAGGAGUUUUAUUUGUUACACUACCUUCACAAUCAUUGGUAUCAAAUUCACUCAUACAGUCGGAGUCAUCUCUUUCACUUAUAAACUCGGAGUCGCUCAGCAUAUAAAAAUCAGUAUCGGAUGCUUCCAUUUCAAAAUCGGUUUCUGCAUGUGGAGCCAUCAUAUUUGACUGUUGCGUGAAGGUUUUUUUUAUUAGGAAGUGGUUUCAUUAAAACAAUUAAAAGAACAUUUAUUUUUACUAUGUAAGUGAAAUAAUGCAAACUACCCGAUUUUUCUAAGUACUAACGAAUCAAAUUCACUUAUCGGUGCUAGAUUUUUAGCCUAACAAAAAUUCAUAAAAUAAUAAUCUAGACAUUCAUUUGCUAAAUAAAUUUUGUGUGCAAUCAUUUACAAAUCACAACAGCUCCUAAAACACGUCAAGUUUUACUUAUAUUACGAUGCAAUACAAAAAUUUCUUCGAUUAGCGUACCUCUGAAUAGCUCAAUGCAAUAUUCUCUGCCAUUUGAAUCUCAUCUAUUUUCGCUUUAAGCUUUCGUUGAAAGGUUCUCUUUGAUGUUAACAUAAUGAUAGUUUUGUUUGUUUCGAUGAUUAGAUAAUUGAAAUACUUGAAUGGUUUGAUAUUUCACGCAAGGAGACAUUAGGAGUACUCUGAUUCAACUCUACUAUGCAUUAAAAAACCUCGUUUAGUGUUUUUGAAUAAAUUUUUUGAUUCGGGAUUGCCGAAUGUUAUUUAUUUCCUACCAAAUAUUUCGACCUCAGUUCGAGGACAUUAUCUAUGGCUGAAACAUUUUUUCACGAAUUCGAUUACAAAUCUCCAAACUCGUUUAGUGUUUCACAUUGAAACGUUCACUAAUGAGUUACAUUUGUUAAGAUUUCUUAAUAUUUAUUGAAACAUUAAAAACUCUUUUUUUAAUGAGAGCUGAAAAAAUUCUAAAAAAUGACGAAAAAUUCAGAAAUUUAUACCUGAGAAUUAUUCUUAUUUUGGAAUAAAAAUUCGCAAAAAAAGCCCUAAAGUGGCAAAAUCUCGUACUUCAAUUGUCGAUGGAUCUCUUAAUUUCUGCUAAAAAUAGCUACGCUGAAAAACCUAGCUAUGUUUAUAUUUCAUUUCAUUUGUUUCUGAUAAAAGUAACCUAAUACAAUGAGCGCCAGUAUGCGUUAACAAUUCAAAGGCAGUAGAAACAUACUGACCACUCCAUGUGAGUAUGGCGCUUUUCUCAAUCCGAAUUGCAAAACAUUUAUUUUUGCAAAGUUGUAGUUUUCCCCUUACUUUUACUUUCGCAAACAAGAAAAAACGAAGAAUGAAAAGCAAAACUUGUAUUAGAUGACCAUCUUUGUGACGGGUCAAGUCUGGUCCCUUAAGGUGGUCAAUGUAGGCGAAUUUGACUGUAAUUUUAAGCGCCUCUACAAAGAAAAAUAAGUUGGCUGAGAUUUUCCUGACGUAGUGAAAAUCAUUCGAAAAAAAUCUUCACAACUUCAAGCGAAAAUUUAAAAUGUCGUCUCCUCAAGCUGAAGCAGAGAUCGAGCUGUACUGUAUAGCUGAAACGAUUGAAAAUGCACAAUUGAUGGUCACUGCAUCUCCAGAAUUAUGGGUUAAUGGUAACAUUCUCCUUUGGCCACCCGGAGAGGUCGAUAGAAGUAAGCCGACUCCCCCACAGUCGGACUGGACGCCAACAAUGUGCAGGAUCUUAAAAAGCUCAAUAGGUAAAACCGAUUUUUUAUCAUAAUGUGCUAAAAUACCAUCAACAUCAACACUGGUAUCUAAAUGAAUGCUAUCAAAGAAAUUGUGUAAAAACUAAUAGUGGAUAUUGAGAUCAUUGACGAUACACUCCUUCAUACAACUUUUAUUUAAAAAAAAAAAACAAAAAGCGCUGUUUUAUGGGAAAAUAUAUGUAAGAGUUCUAAUUGCAGAGUCUGCGCUGCACUAAAUAAUUGAUUUGCUAAAAAAUGUUUUAAACUUGAAAGUGAAUUUGCGAAAUCUUGAGCAACUCAAUGAAACUGUUGCUUUAUUCUGAAGAAUUUGUGUAAUCAAUUCGACGCGAUUUUCGACCCGUUUAUGUGUAGUCGCUUGAACAAAAAAUUAUAAUUAUUGUUGACCACAAGCAAUCCAAUUAUCUGUCUACACUAUUAUUACAGAGACGGCUCAAAUUUCGAAUAAUUUCAAAAUUUGGCAAGUUCACUGUUCAGAUUAAAAAUAAAUUAAAUUUACCACUUCAGUCGAAACUAUUUCGUGAAAACUUUCGGCUAAUAAAAACACUUUUGGGAGAGAAGCAGAAGCAAAUUCAACUCACGAUUCCUAUCCAAACUUUAGUCGCAACAUAUGAAUGUUUCGUUGAUCUAUGUGCGCUGAUAUUUACGUUAUUUCUUAGUCGCAACAGAGUAAAAUCACUUGAUCUUUGACCCCUUACUUAUCAUUUGUUUAGCGACUUUCAAAGAAGCUUUAGAGUUUGAAAAGAUGUAUUCUAAACAUCGGAAUUCGGACUCGUUUCGAGAAUUUGAGGCCCGUAAACAACUUAAACGGAAGCGUCCCAUUAAUGAAAAUGAGAACUUGAAGUCAGAUUUGAUAGACAUGAGUUCAUUGGUCAAUAAAAUUAACAAUGAAAAUGGUAAUAUUGAAAAUCAGUUAUAAUUCUGCUAUUAACAUGGAAACAUUUAGCUUCCAAACCGAAAAAUGUUGAGCUAAAAGCAAAAGGCAAUAAAUACCAUAGCCUGUGUCUGGAUAAGGAUAAAGCCAAAUUGAGCACGCGAGGUAUAUUUUUUUAUUUAAACAAAAAAACUUAUCAACAUUUCCUUCAAAUUUUAAGAGCCAAAUAAAAACAAAUUUGGUAUACCACCACGGUCAAAUGUUCGUGUAAAGCCCAAAAGUAGUUAUUGUAAAUUAGUAAUGAGGUCGCUUCAACUCUAAAUGAUAAAUUUGUUUAAGAUCCUGCAUUAGAAAAAGGCGGAGUGGUUAAAAAGCCUCGUUAUGAGAAUUAUCUCAAAUCAGGAAGUAGUUUUCAAUCUCAACAGUUUCGUAAAAUUCUUUUUGAUUGUAAAAUUCUUAGAAAUAAACACCGCUUCCGCCGCUGGCAAAAAGAAAAUUUCACCACCCCCUCUCAUAAAAAUGAACCAAGCUAAAGUAAGCUCAACUAUCACGAAGGAGCAAUACUUAAUCGAAAAUGCGCUUACUGAAAAUGGCGAGUAUUUAUUUUUGAAAAUAAACGUAGUUUGUUCAUAGUUUCGUUUAAUAGAAUUCAAUUCAAAAGCUUAUACUAUCGAUAAAUCAUCCACUCCAAUCAAUGAAGAAGUCGACCUAGCACCCCUUGACGACCAAAAUAAUGUAUCAGAAGACGAUCAGGUGAAAAACAUCUAUUCUGCCUUAAAUUCAGGAUCAUUCGAGGCUAAGAAGAAAAUACUUAAUCCGGUUCGAAAACCCAAAAAGGAUGAACACAAGCACAGCGAAUUUGGUACUGGCAUAUUUGGUGAAGACGUGACAAACCCUUCAAUUAAAAAACAUUCUGGUUUAAAUGUCAUCGAGGACAUUGUAAUCCGACCAGCAAGUGUGACGAUGCCUCCACCUGUUGGGAAUGAUCAAAUCAGUAAAGAAGCUUUCGUUUUCCGUAGUUGUUGACGUAGAUUUUCACUUAUAAUUAUGGGUUAAUUGAGAGUCGUUUUUCGCGUUAAAUUAUAACUUUAAACGAAAAUCAUCAGCCUAGCUAAAUUGGUCUGAGAAUGAAAUCUUUAGCAAAAUAAUUUCACUACGCAAUACAGGACUUGUGCACGGAUGGUGGCAUUGAGUCGCCGACAGUAAUUUAAAAAAAAGGAAAAGCUAAAUUACACGGUGUAGAUAAAUUUAGUCUCAGAGAGAUGAGUCGAUUAUCAGAAUUUGUCUGGUCUAUACCAAAGCGAAACCGAAAAUUUCGAACAGUCCAUACAAACCAAUUUUUUUUGCUACUACACUAUUACCCACUAUGUCAAUUCCACUCGUGCACAUUCCAAAAGUUGAAAAUGUUGCCGUCUUUACCAGAAAAAACUAAUUCAAUUCAUUUUGUGUUAGGUGAGAUCGCUUCAGCAAUUGUGUCGGGUCUAAAUGAUAUUAAGAAUAUCUUCAAACAGUCGGAGCAAAGACGUAUGAAUUAUGAAGCACGUAUGCAGACCCAAUGGGAAGUUUUUGUUAAGAAAGUGUCGCUCAACCAAGGACAAAAUGACGAUGUAGGCGAGUCGUUAGAUGUGAACGAAGAUUUUGAUGAACUCGACAAAAACUUCCCCGUAAAACGUCAACCGUCUGUUGAGCAAUUAGAUUGGUACAUCGAGAGAGAUCUACCUUUCAAACGUAGAAUGGUACGAACUAUUCAAAUUAUUGUACGGUUGCUCGAAGUAUCGAACUAUUGUUUUGCUUUUUUUUUCAAGAAAAACCGAAUCGAUUUGCUUGGUGGUAGAGAUGAAAAAGAUUCAAUUCGCCGGAAAAUGAAGUACUUAAUCGCUGACACUGCAUUAGAACAUUACACAUGGAGGGGCACUGCAGACAAAAAACCGUUCCUCAAACUUACGUUUCUGAAUGACUUGAUUUUUAAAAGUGUUCGCUCGCAAUACCCCAAGUAUACCCUCAAGCAGUACAGCACUUAUAUGGUUGAGUGGUUGAAACAUGCAAAAACCCGACAACGGAAAGUUGUCUACCAAUAUCCAAACGCACGAAAAGAAGACGAUGAAGAUUUCCAUCAUUCAGAUGAUGACGGAUUCGAUCCACAAUAUUGAGCCUACAUUUAUCAAAAACUCUAUUCCGUUCUUUUGUUUUUUUUUUAAAUUAUUUUUAUCUCAUUGAAACCCACCGAUAUGAAAACUUUUUAAGUGCAUAGGAAUGGUGGCGUAAUUCCAUUUUUUCUUCAUCUCUUAUUUGUUCAUUAAACAUUAUCUGCGUAUGUCUGAA